rnacentral:rRNA from 1 species
CCUACGGGAGGCAGCAGUGGGGAAUAUUGCACAAUGGGGGAAACCCUGAUGCAGCGACGCCGCGUGAAGGAAGAAGUAUUUCGGUAGGUAAACUUCUAUCAGCAGGGCGGAAAAUGACGGUACCUGACUAAGAAGCACCGGCAAACUACGUGCCAGCAGCCGCGGUAAUACGUAGGGGGCAAGCGUUAUCCGGAUUUACUGGGUGUAAAGGGAGCGUAGGCGGUUUAGCAAGUCAGAAGUGAAAGCCCGGGGCUGAACUCCGGGACUGCUUUUGAAACUGUUGAACGAGAGUGCAGGAGAGGUAAGUGGAAUUCCUAGUGUAGCGGUGAAAUGCGUAGAUAUUAGGAGGAACACCAGUGGCGAAGGCGGCUUACUGGACUGUAAAUGACGCUGAGGCUCGAAAGCGUGGGGAGCAAACAGGAUUAGAUACCCGAGUAGUC